rnacentral:rRNA from 1 species
CCUACGGGAGGCAGCAGUGGGGAAUAUUGGGCAAUGGAGGAAACUCUGACCCAGCAACGCCGCGUGAAUGAUGACGGUCUUCGGAUUGUUAAGUUCUUUUCUCAGGGAAGCAGCAAGCGACGGUACCUUCGGCAUAAGCCUUGGCUAACUACGUGCCAGCAGCUGCGGUAAUACGUAGGAGGCGAGCGUUAUCCGGAAUGACUGGGUGUAACGGGUGCGUAGGUGGUUUGGCAAGGUAGUAGCGUAACUCCAAGGCUCAACCUAGGAACUACUACUAAAACUGUUGGACUUGAGUGCAAGAGAGGCAACCGGAAUGCGUGGUGUAGCGGUGAAAUGCGUAGAUAUUAGGAGGAACACCGGUGGCGAAGGCAGGUUGCUAGACUGUAACUGACGCUGAGGCACGAAAGCGUGGGGAGCGAACAGGAUUAGAUACCCGGGUAGUC